GAAAUGCGAUAAGUAGUGUGAAUUGCAGAAUCAGUGAGUCAUCGAAUCUUUGAACGCACAUUGCGCCUCUCGGUAUUCCGGGAGGCACACCUGUUCGAGCGCCAUUACAAACUCCAAGCGUGGCUUGAUGUUGGGCGAUGUCUUUUUGCGAGAGCGGAGACACGCCUGGAACGCGUUGGCGCCGCCGCCGGACCACGAGCGUAGCAAGACGAGAGUCAAUCGCAUCGAUUUGGAUUCCGACGGAGGUCCGCCAUGGGACUGCACUUUCGAGUGUAAGUUCACAACUUCUCUCAAGUUUGGCCUCGGAUCAGGCGGGGAUACCCGCUGAACUUAAGC
rnacentral:misc_RNA from 1 species